GAAGCAAGUCAGACCGCCGCUGGCCCGAGCGUGGAAACACGGGGCUGGAGGAAGGUCCGGACUGCACAGAGCGGCGUAGCAGCUAACGGCUGCCCGGCGAAAGCCGAGGAUCAGAGCAACAGAGACGAGUCAAGUCAGGUCCCCGAGGCGGGUGGUCUGUGAGGCGUCGGCGCAAGCCGGCGGGCCCGGUGGCGCAAGCCACGGGGCCUCGGGCGAAGCCCGAACCGAACAGCACCCAAGUCGGGCCAAGGGUCCGACUUGGGUGAAACGGGCAAUCUCUACGCGCAGCAACACCAAGUAGGCCAGCGUCGAUGCGGCUCGCAGAGCUGGCGGGUAGGUGGCACCGAGCCGGGCAGUGAUGCCCGGCCCAGAGGAAUGGCGGUCACGGGACCCGGCCCGCAAGGGUCAGGUCUUGCACAGAAUCCGGCCUAUCGACUUGCUUCACUC
rnacentral:RNase_P_RNA from 1 species